AUUUCCAGUGACUAAUGCUAAGCUAGAACAUAUUUGUGGUGGUGAAUUUUAUGUGUCAACUUAACUGGACCACAGGAUGCCCAGACUUUUAGCCAAACAUUAUCCUGUGUGUGUCUGGGAGACUGUUUCUGGAUGACAUGGACGUUUGAAUCCAUAGACUGAGUAAAGCAGAUUGCCCUCCCGAAUGGAGGUAGGCCUCAUCUAGUGAGGUGAAGACGUGACUACAAUGAAAAGGCUGAGUAAGAGGGAAUGCGUCCUACCUGACUUGUUUGAGUUGGGACCAUGGUCUUUCUCAGCCUUCAGACUCGGACUGAAACAGCAGCUCUUCUUGGAUCUCCAGCCUGCCGACUUUCAGCUUGGAACUUAUGCCAUCAGCUCUCAUGGUUCUCAGACCUUCAGACUUGAACUAGAACUACAAACCAGUUUUCCUGGGUCUCCAACUUGUGGACUGCACAUCUUGGGACUUCUCAGCCUCCCUAAUUGUAGUUCUCCUGCCAACCAGAGACCAAGAAUCUUCCCCAUUGAUAUCGAAGCGGAGAAGAACAACUGCCAUGAGAGAAUGACAAACUGCAGCCAGGACUGCGUAUGGACAGCGAGCUGGUUCUCACAGAAGCUUUCAGCCUGCUGGUUACACAGGUGCUUGGGGUACAGCAGUGAACCAAACAACAACAAAUCCCUGUCCCACUGGAUUUCACAUUCUACUAGGAAAAGUCAAAUAAUAAACAUUGAUCAUAAGAAGUAAACAAAUUACAUAUUUUUUCAGAGAGUGAUGAGUGCUACGGAAAAAUAGAGCAGCUUAAGGGGAGGAUCAAGGGUGCUAGAGGUGGGAGAGGUGACAAUUUUAAAUGAGAUGGUCAAGGGAAGCCUCACUGAAUUUAUAAUAUAAGAAACCUCAAAAGUUUCAGGGUAAGGGAAGUUGACCAAAGAACAUCUAGAGAAAACAGUGUUCUUCAUGGAAGGAACCGCCAGUGCAAAGGCACUAAGACGAGGACAUGCUUGGCAUGUUCAAGUAGCAGAGGGAAGCUAGUGUGGUUGGAAUGAGAGAGCAGAGUGGGGCAUAGAGAACAGAGAGGGGUCAGAGAGAUACUGGGGUGAGGAGUGGAGGAGGUGGCCUUGUAGGAAUUGGCUUUUACUCUGAGUGAGAUAUGAAACUAUUGGAAGGCUUUAAAUGGAAGACUGACAUGAUCUGAUUUACGGAUUACUCUGACUCUGUAUUAAGAAUAAACUAUAGUGAGCCAAGAGGAGAUGCAGGGAAACUGGUUAGACAACUAUUGCGAUCAUCUAGGUAAAGAUGAUGGUUUGAGACUGAGGUAGACCACAGGAAGUGGUAAGAAAUGAUCAGGCAUAUUUUGGAGGUAGAAUUGGCUGGUGGAUUAGAUGUGGGGUAUGAGAAAAAGAGCAGGAAAAAGGUUGACUGCAAAAAUUUGGGCCUGGAAUCAUCAUCAAAUGAUGGGGGGAAGACUGCAGGUAGAGGACCUUGCAGGGAGUGGACCAGAAGUUCCAUUUUGGACAUGUUAAGUUUGAUAUCUCCAUCAGUCAUCCAAAAAGGAGGUUUUCAGUAGACAAUUUGGUAGUCAAGUCUGAAGUUCAGAAGAGAGGUCUGGGCUAAAGAUACAAAUUUGGGAGUUUAUGGUGUAUACGUAGAAUUUAAAUUCACAAGACAGGUCGAAAUUUCCAGGAGAGGGAAUGUAUAUGGACAAGAAGAAAAAAAACUAAACUCUAUGGCUCUUCAACAUCGAGAGUUUGAGGAGAAGAGGAGAAACCAGUAAGAGGAAACCAAGGAGCAGCACCCAGUGGGGUGAGAGGAAAACCCGGAGUGUGGUGUCCUUGAAAACAGAAGAAAAAAUCAUGUCUGGAAAGAAGGAGAUCUUGACCCUCCCAAAUGCAGCUGACAUGUUAAGUAAGAUGAGUCCUAAGUUUUGACCAUACACGGAUUUAGCAGCAUGAAUGUUAUUGGUGACCACAGAGAGAAUAGAUGCCUUGAUGGGGGUAACAUCUUGAUUGGAGGGACUUUAGGAGGUAGAGAGAGACAGUGAGCAUAGGCAAUUAUUUCAAAGAAGUAGAUACAAUUAUUAAGACUGUUUUACAAAGACCCAAAGAGGGUUUUUACUUGCCUAAGUUCAUAAUAUUAACAAGUAGAGCUGGGACCUGAAAUCAGGUUUGCUUGAAUCCAGAAUCUGCUCUCUUCACCACCAUCCUAUACUGUCUGAGAUCUGCCCUGGUCACAGACAUAAUAAUUCAGUGAAGGAAGAAACAGACUAGAAGCGGCCAUUUAGCUCUUGUCUUCUGUGUUUUCCCACCAAGAUUUCAAACCAGUAUUCCUACAACCUUCCACGGCAUAAAUUCCCUUCUCACUUUCUAGUGCCAUUCUCUGUGUCACCUUUUUAUCACCUCACUUGUGUAACCAUUUAUUCUCACUCAUCCAAUUCCUUCCUCUUUAAGAACAAAUUAUCUUGUUUUCUUCUAUGUCCAAUUAGCAUAUUCAGUGUUUCCAGAUCUCUAAAUUCAUGCUUUAUUUGUCACUUAUCUAGAAAUAAAAGUCCUUCAGUCCAUUUCCUCUACCCAGUAGACUCUGUCUGCUAAGAUCUAAAAUAAAUCCACCACUGAACCUGGCUAAGAGGUUAAGAUACCUCAUAGAGUCGGAAAAUAGAACAAAGAAUAGAAAAUAGAGUGAAGAAACUUUGUGUGUCUGUAUAUGGUUGGGGGUGGGGGAAGUGACAGGUAAGCAACAAACCAGGCUGAAAAUAGGACUCCAGAGUAAGUUAGAUUUCUAGCAACAUCUCCAGCAGUGUUGGCAGAAAGUGGAUCCAAGAGUGGAUAAAAGCAUAUGGUCCAUAGCAUGACAAAGAGAGGAAUCAAAAAAAUCAUGUUUCACGAAAAAAGACUAUCAGGACACACAAAGUGAGGACAAGGAAUGAGUCUGGUAACCACCGACUUGGGCCAAUCAGAUAGCAAAUAACAUUGCGAGAAUGAGCCCUUGAGCACAUAUGACUUGGCAUGAAGUGUCUUGCUUUUGCUUCUCUUCACAUGGCAUAUCUUCAAGUGGCUAUGGCUUAUUUGUUCCAUAAAGUACUACCAAAAACUCCUCCUCAAACUGGAAAUUCAUAGUCAUAGUAACAAGCUCAAUAUAAACAGAGCCUCUGUUUUACAAUGCACUCUGUUCUGGGUCACUUGAAACACUGAUUUCUUCACGGAUGCUAUCAUCCUCUCCUGACACGAUAGCUCUAGUCAUAAUAUGCGCCUUUGCAACAUGCAGAUGUGUCCAUGACGCAUAUAUGCCUUUUUCAGGCCUGAUUCUGCGUACACAGAGCUCUUCCGUGUGUGUUGCCCACCGUCUCAAUGAGAGCCCAUGACUCACGAUCUGUGGCUUUGAGUCAUGCUCUGAAGUGAUGUGAAUUAGUCUUAAUUUGGUGCUUUUCAGUUAUCAGUAUAAGCCCUGCCUGCUGAGAGCUUUGUUUUGUUUUCCUUCCUAGCACUUGGAACUCCCUUAAUUGGUAGUUGAUAACUUCCACAGUGUGUAUUUUACAUGGAGGAGUGAAAGUUGGCCCAAUUAUAAGCAAAAAGAACAAAACAAAUUUGCACCGAAUAGAAAGUGUAUUGUGAAAGAACUAACGGCUGGGAAAAGCAGAGAUUUUGUAGAUAAAAAGCUGCUUUUUGCUUCAUUGUAAAGCAAGUGACUUCACCCUCUAAUCGCAGAUCACAAAUGAAGGUGACAACCCUGGAGAACUUGACAGAUAAGGGAGGGAGAGAUGGGAGGGAGAAGCCUCAUCCAUUUAUGUGUCCAUAUGUAUGUCCCUGAGAUGAAAUUGUUGUACCAGAAAAGGGAGAAUUGAAUAGAAUAGGAGGAUAACAUUCAAGCAUCAAGUGCCUCUACCACAUCCUGGUGCCCAGACAAAAAAUAAUCUGAGGUUGUAACAUCAUUUUACGUCCUGACAUAGUCUGGUAUUUAAAAGGUUUUAUGAACUAAUAGCAUCUGAGAACCUGAGAAAUGCGCCUAAAAUUGAACUAUCUGGUUCAGGAAACACGUAGACAAUGGUCUGAGUGAUUCACUUUUGUGUUAGAACAGAGAGGAGGAAAACUUGUAUAUUUGUUAAAGUGUUUACAUAGACAGAAGAUCUUGAAAGUGCGCCUAUCAUUUUCUUUUUUUUUUUCACUAUUGCCCUACCCUUGUUUAAUCUUCACUGGUUUUCUGUGGUCGUUUUUUCAGUAAAGAAAGUUUAUUUUUUGCUAAAUGUUUCAGCUAGAUUUUCAGACUUUUGAGUAAGAAAUUCUUUGUAUCCUGGGAAUUCUACAGUCUCUUAUUCAUAAUAGUUUUAUACACAAUUGAUACUUCAUGGAUAACUCAGAAUUAAUUUUUAUUUGAUGCUGUAAUAUAUUAUAUCUCUUUUCCAGAAAAUUCAUCUGUGUUCAGUCUACAUCAAGAUAUUAAUAAAAUGAGAAGGUCAAAUGUUAUUCAGCAUCCAAGAUAAAACCAGUCUGUGGUUCCACACUCUAUAUAUAUUACAGAUGUGACUAAUUCAGAAGUAGAUUGCUCUUGCAUAGACAUACAUUAUGUUCCACUUUAAUAAAAAUAGAUCUAUUUCUC
ensembl:lncRNA